GAUGAACGCUGGCGGCGUGCCUAAUACAUGCAAGUCGAGCGAACAGACGAGGAGCUUGCUCCUCUGACGUUAGCGGCGGACGGGUGAGUAACACGUGGAUAACCUACCUAUAAGACUGGGAGAACUUCGGGAAACCGGAGCUAAUACCGGAUAAUAUAUUGAACCGCAUGGUUCAAUAGUGAAAGACGGCUUUGCUGUCUCUUAUAGAUGGAUCCGCGCCGCAUUAGCUAGUUGGUAAGGUAACGGCUUACCAAGGCAACGAUGCGUAGCCGACCUGAGAGGGUGAUCGGCCACACUGGAACUGAGACACGGUCCAGACUCCUACGGGAGGCAGCAGUAGGGAAUCUUCCGCAAUGGGCGAAAGCCUGACGGAGCAACGCCGCGUGAGUGAUGAAGGUCUUCGGAUCGUAAAACUCUGUUAUUAGGGAAGAACAAAUGUGUAAGUAACUAUGCACGUCUUGACGGUACCUAAUCAGAAAGCCACGGCUAACUACGUG
rnacentral:rRNA from 1 species